GCCCGGCUAGCUCAAUCGGUAGAGCGUGUGACUCUUAAUCGUAUUAAUAAAUCACAAGGUUGGGGGUUCGACCCCCCCGUUGGGCU
rfam:Sclerotinia sclerotiorum 1980 scaffold_8 genomic scaffold, whole genome shotgun sequence.